rnacentral:rRNA from 1 species
GGCUUGUUGAUUAUAAUUUCAAGUYUGACCUGCCCACUGAAGUUUUAAAUGGCCGCGGUAUACUGACCGUGCAAAGGUAGCAUAAUCACUAGUUUUUUAAUUGGAAGCUGGAAUGAAGGGUUUGAUGAGAAAGUUACUGUCUCAGAAAAAAUUUUUAGAAUUUUAUUUUUAAGUUAGAAAGCUUAAAUUUUCAUAGAAGACGAGAAGACCCUAUAGAGUUUUAUAUGUGUUUUAGAUUGAGUUAUUUAGGGAUUGUUUAACUUUAGUUUAUAGGCUUAUAUUUUGUUGGGGCGAUAGAAAAAUUGAUUUAACUUUUUCUGGAAUUUGAAUAUUUAUGUGUAAUUAUUUGAUCCUGUAAAUAUAGAUUAUAAGAAUAAACUACCUUAGGGAUAACAGCGUAAUUUUUUUUAGAGUUCUUAUCGAAAAAAAAGUUUGCGACCUCGAUGUUGGAUUAAAAUUAAUUAUUGGUGUAGAAGCUAGUAUAUUGGGUCUGUUCGACCUUUAAAAUUUUACAUGAUCUGAGUUUAAACCGGUGUGAGCCA